CUCACACACCCCACCCAGCCCCGUGCAGCCCCCUGGGCGGAUACCAAGGAGCCGGAGGGCGAGAACUCCUGUGUGCCGGACACCAGCUGGUGGCAGGUCCCCUGUCGCCACUGGGCCUCCAUUUCCCCAUCUGAGGAAUGGCAGGAACCGGCUCCUCUCUGGAGUUCUGUCCAUUCCAAGGCUGUGGACGAUAGUGAUGAGGAGCAUUGCCUCUGGAGUCUGAGAAACCUGGGUUUGAGACCAGGCUCUGAUGUCUCCCUGCUGUGUGACCUCUGGUAAGGAAACGGAGGCAGAGUGGACCUUGCUAUGGUCACACAGGUACGAGGAGACGGACCGGCUGGAUCCCACACCAGGCUCUGGAGGAACAGGCUGUAUGCCAGCCCCUGGGUUCCUCCAGAGCUUGGUUUAGAUGUCACUCCCCAGAGACGCCUUCCCUGACCCGCCUGGAAGAGACCCACUGUCUGUUCACUGCACCUGGUGUCUUCCUCCUGACACCUGUCAGAGGUGGACAGUUCACGUCCCUAUUGGCUUCACUGUG